rnacentral:rRNA from 1 species
UACGUAGGGUGCAAGCGUUAAUCGGAAUUACUGGGCGUAAAGCGUGCGCAGGCGGUGAUGUAAGACAGAUGUGAAAUCCCCGGGCUCAACCUGGGAACUGCAUUUGUGACUGCAUCGCUGGAGUGCGGCAGAGGGGGAUGGAAUUCCGCGUGUAGCAGUGAAAUGCGUAGAGAUGCGGAGGAACACCGAUGGCGAAGGCAGCCCCCUGGGCUGACACUGACGCUCAGGCACGAAAGCGUGGGGAGCAAACAGG